CUCUUGUCAAAAUACAAGAACUCCCUCCAGGUAAUGGAUGCACAACAGAACAUAAAUAAAGAGAAGUUGGCAUGAGAAAAACGAGAGCAAGGGGAAGAGGCUCCCCCCACUAACACCGUCACCCCCCGCCCCCGGAGUCGGCCUGCCUCAGCCUUCUGUACUGCUCAGUGUGAGGCCUCCCUUCUCUUCUCACAGAACAGACCUGCAUGUGAGAGACUUCCCAAGGCACCUCAGAGUGAGAGGAGCACAGGGACAGAAGGGGACGGAGCUGCAGCAAAAUGUGACAAGGACUUCAGGAGCUUGAUUUAAUUUUUAUUUUGAGUAUCCUUGCAGAUACAGUUACCAUGGGCCACACUGAUGCAGACUGGCCCUGAAUCCAAUCUGAAUGCUGACCUUACACCAGGAGAGGACACCAAACCCGCGGAACAAAGACAGCAUGAGAAGAUGGAGACAGACAGCGAGUGGGGCCACCAGUGGGCCACAGGCAAGGGCAGUGAAAGCUGCUACCAACCACCAUGCCAAGGUAAAUAUUUCAUUUCAGAACCCUGGCUCCCACAAUUUCCAGAGGAUAAUUCAUGCUGUUUGGAGCCAUCUAGACUGCAACACUUUGUUUUGGUAGCAUGUUAGAAAUUAACAGUGUGUCUAGGUAAUAAUAUUAUGCAUAUAGUUUUUAAUAUACAUAUGACUUAAGAAGGAUCAUAUAUAUUCAUGGAAUAAAAGCAGUUUGUAGGCCAAGUGUGGUGGCACACUUACAGUAAUGCUAGCACUUAGGCGGAGGCUAAGGUAAGAGCACUGUGAAGGCCAUCCAGGGAUAUACAGUGAGAGAUUGUUUAAAAUAAACAUAGACAGUUGGGAGUAUGGCUCAAGCUCUGGAUUCAACCUUAGCAUGCAAAGGAGGACUUUUUCAUGUGCACAAGUGUUCACGUGUAUGCAGAUGUGCUGUACAUAUAUGAACAUGUGGAGGAGAGACAACAAUCCUGACCUCAGCCUCAACAAUGUCACCCUCAGAAACACCAUCCAAGCUCCCAGAGCAGCUUGGCUUCCCCAGCACCAGGAUCACAAGUGUGCGCCAUCAUGCCCGCCAUUUUCACAAGGGUUCCAGGUAUGAAAUGUAGGUCCCCAUGUUUACAGGGCAAGUACUUCCCCAACUAGAUGAGCCGUGUCUCCAGCCCCAAUGAGUAUUCUGAUUUUUUAAAUUUUUUUGUUUGUUCGAGACAGGGUUUCUCUGUGUAACCCUGGCUGUCCUGGAACUCACUCUGUAGACCAGGCUGGCCUCGAACUCAGAAACCCGCCUGCCCAAGUGCACCACCACUACCAGGCCCAUUUUUAUUUUUUUUUUAAAAAAAGUUUUAGUUAGGUAUAGUGGUGCUUGCCUUUAAUCCCAGCACUUGGGAGGCAGAGGCAGGUGGAUUUCUGAGUUCAAGGCCAGCCUGGUCUACAGAGUGAGUUCCAGGACAGCAAGGGCCAGGACCACACAGAGAAACCCUGCCUCGGAAAAAAAAAAAUGAGGUCAUCAAACAUACACAGACAGCCCCUGUCUCAAAAUCAAUCAAUCAAUCAAUCAACCAACCAAUCAUUCAAAAAACCAACCAAAAUAAAGAAUGCUUUAAUUGCUUCUCAGUCUUUUGGCUAAGGUCAUGUACAAAAAUGUUUUAAGUUAUUUUUACUAUUGUUUCUGAGUGUAUGUGUGAUUCAUGUGUGGGCAUGCUCACCACAGAAUGCAUGUGGAGGCUAGAGAACAGCUUCACGGAGUCUGGUCCUUCCACCCCUUUAUGUGAGUUCUGGGGAUCAAGCUCAGGCUGACGGGUUCACAAGGCAGGCAUCUUUACCCUGAGACUCCGUGUGCCAGCCCAAGAGUAUUUUUCUUAGGAACAAGCUCUUGCCUCUUUAUUGAUUUUACACACAUUAAGUAUCUUCUUAGUGCAAUGCCUCUGGAGCGCGGGAAGACUUGCACAAGACGAUCAAUGAGGCAGAUCUCGUCUCUCCUAAGGCAGCCCUAGGAAGUCCCUGCAGGAGCAGAGCAGGAGGCCAGCCUGGUGGCUAGUAAAGUGGGGGAAGAUGAGGGGUAGGGAUUGUGAGGACCACCUAACGCUAACACAGGCUGCCCACGUGUCAAAAGGAGAGCUACUUUUGCUUUCUACACAGCCCUGAGAUCACUGGAGGAAUGUGCCAUGGGUGAUGGUGGAGAUGGGGGACAUGGAAGCAGGGGUUCGUUCUCCCAUGGGAUCCCAGAGAUGUGGCCGGACUCCAGCUGGCCCUCCAUCUCUCUAAAGCUUUUGUCUGUAAUAGUGGCAGGCAGGAAUUGCCAUGCCAUACUAGUGAGCAAACUCCUGUUUGGGAAAACAGCAGCAGCAGCAGCAGCCAGGCACCAAGCCACCCUGGUGGCUUCCUCCAGCUCUUCCUCAGCACCUUCCUCCAGCUCUAUAAAAGGCUGCUUCCUGUUUCUGCGCUGCCUGGGAUUCCCACCCACUCCAGUGUGCAGCAGCCAGGGAGAGGCCACCCAGGAAGGCCGUCAGCAACUGUCCAUCUUCCCUAAGUCAGGGCUCCCUCACUGCAGACACCCUCCUCCAACAACUAAUUAUGUCAAAAACAAAACCAAGCGCGACCCAGAGGAUAAAACCUUGGAGCCAAGUCUCAGAACAGUCAGACCCUGGCCCACAUGCCCUCCACAGGGCCCACCCUCAAAAUCAAGGUGACAUGUGCCCACCUCAGGCCAUCCCCAUCACCACCUCCCCCACUUGGCUUCUAUCCUAGAAAUGUACUCAAUAAAGCUUACAACCUUUUUUCGA